UGGGCCCGCGCCGCGAGCUGCAGUUCCGGGCUGCGCUCUGGCGCGGGAUUCAAGGUGUGUUCGGCGAGUCCUUGUGUAGGGGCGGCUGGGCGGGGGAGAGUCCUGAGUUUGUACUGGAAUCUGCAGCUGAGAUUAGCCAGACCGGGCCCGCCCAGAGGAGGGAUUGGAAGCUGGUGCACUUGACAUUCGAAGAGCGCGAAGGGGAAACGACGCUGCCUCACACCCAGUGCUAGGAGAGUGCGGGUACGGCCCUUCCACAUUUUUCGCUGGCCUGGGGCUCCCAGAUUUCACGAUGCUUCCCUCUAUCCCGCCUCAUUGACCCCUGGACAACCCUGAAAUAUCAUCGUCAGCAUUAUUUCAUCGGAAAGAAGGGCAGCAAGAGAGGCCGGAUGAUUCUCCCAAGGCCACACAGCUAAUUAGUGGGCAGAGCCCAGUCUAGAAGCCAUCUCACCAUCUGACACCUUUCGACAAAGUGCAAAACGCGGUGGUGAGAGACGAGGACACAGACAUUAAGAUUCCGCUCCAGCCCUAGAGGCACUGAGAAUCAGAACGUGAACUACUCUUCACUCCAGGCAGAAAGCAAGAGGCUUGGAUGAGUUUUAGGAAACCAGCACAGUGUCGGGCACAGAGCGCUCAAUGAAUAGAUGUGUAACAACAAAGUAGGGAUCCAACAGAGGAAGAAAUAAUUUAUUGUAAGGUGGCCUUUGGGAAAGCUCUCAGAAAGGUGGAUGAAUCACUUAAGAGGAAUGGACUCCAGCAGCAUCACAGAAUCAAAGCAACACCUAAGGAAUUCACUGUUUCUUCACAUACUUUGAACUGUGAAAACAAGAGUCAUCAUAAUAGCUGCAGUUUACUCAGUACCUACCAGGUACUGUCACCUAUACUGUCUCUAAAGCCCCUACAACCCUGAGCUAAGGAUGAUCAUAUCCCCAACUGCAGAUGAUGACACUGAAGCUCAACGGCUACUCAACUUGCCUGGAAUCCUACAGCAAGAGGAGGAGAAGAAACAGGCUUACGCUGAGCGAAUCCAAUGUGCAGACAGACACACAGGGAAGGUGACCAUUUGAAGACGGAGGCAGAAACUGAAGUUGUGCAACUGCAAACCAAGAAAUGCCAUGGAUUGCCAACAACCACCAGGAACUAGAAGAGGCAAGGUAAGGUUCAGCAAAGUCUAUGUCAUUCUCUAAUCCUUUUGAUCCAGCGGAUUCUUUGGAGGAAUUUGAAUACAUAUUGGAUUUUGCAUCCAGGUUUGCAAGAGGAAAAUACAAAGGUGACUUCUGGGCCUGCUGGAGGUGGAGGGUAGAGGAUGGACAGCUGACAUCUAGUCACAGAGGAAAGAACACAGAAAGAGAUCUCCAGUUAAAGCUGAUAGAUUGAACCACAGACAACCCACCUCCUUCUAAAAUCCCUCUAGAACAAUGGUUUAAAAAAAGUGCUUUAACAUAAAACUUCAAAAUCAAAAAGAUAAGGAAAAUGAUGAAAACCACUCAGAUAAGAAGAGAGGAUAUUUAUGCAGAGGCUGCUGUCGUUGGGAGUCCGCCACCAUACCACUAUACUUUGGUGAGACUUGAAGGCAGGCAGGGAGUGGAAACACUUUAUGCUGUAGUGAAAAAAGGGGAAGGCUUCGGUAUGCUCUGACUGGAGAUCAUUGUCAUGGGGAAACUGCAGGUGGGCUAACUAGAGGCUGGGCUUCUUGUGUAAUGGUUUGGCUUUCUCUGGUUGGUCCUGUGUUGAAAAUAGGGGCAAAAUAUAGGGAAGCUGACUCAUUGACCAAGCCCUGCCCAGGCUGGCCAAUUGCAGAGGUUGUGGGUCAGAGUUCUAUUGUCAUAUAUGGUCUGGCUACUGUCUGUUUAUAUAAUCCGUCUCUCAGAGAACAGUAGAGGAGAUCAAAUUAUUAACAUUUUGGAAGCUGGAAAGCAGGAGGAUAGUGUGAGCUGAAUUAGCAGACUUGCCAUCUAUCAAAGGGGAUAGCCAAAAGCAAGCCAGAUUUGCCCCAGAGAACCACCAAAGGUUCAAGAAUUGGCAGCACCAGGUACCCCCAGAAGCAGGGAUAAAGUGGGGGCUGAAAUUGGACAGUUGGUUCAAAGUCUAUUUCAGAAGCAUUAGACCACUGGAUUUCUUCCCCAGCUCCCAAAUGACUGCCUGGUGCAAAAGACUCAGGAUUGAUUCCCUGGAGAGGGUAGGUAGUUCUUUGUCUAGUUAAGGAUGGGAUGCCAUAACAAACAUGCCAAUUCAGUGAAAGUACCUACUUUCAAGACUCCUGCUUAACUCCCCUAAAUCAGCAGCCAAUGUUAGAAGCCAAGUGUUAAAGUUUUUCAGAUAAUUUUGCUAUAAGCCUAUGGAGAAAUUUCAUUACCAUCUCAUAGCAAGGCCUAUAGUAUAAGAGCAGGCCUAUAGUAGCAUAUGGGGGAAAGUCUAAAAGACUUUGAAAUGGACCAAAAGAUUAUUGAGAAAUGGAAAACUGCAUUGUUUUAAGUAUCCCUUUCCAACUUAUCAGAUUCUGUGGGGUUUAUACCUUUCAUUGUCUUUGAGGUAUUUAACAAUUCUAAAGAGAUAGACUCUAACUUGUAGAAAACUAAGAGUAACAUAAAUAAUUAUCGUCUUUAGAUAUACAAAUAAAUUCUGUUCUGAGAA
rnacentral:lncRNA from 1 species